UAUUCUUUCUAGAAGUAGGCAGAGCAUGUUGGUAAGUGCCAUCAUGGGACCAUCGCUGCUCAAUGGUAAAAGUUCAUGUUACACAGGACAUCUUUGGCAAAGCGUGUGCUCUACGUCUGUGCUUGAAGGAAUGUAGCUCGGUCCCCAAAGACAGCACACAAUUUUCACAUUUAGGAUAACAAUCAGACCAAGUCAGACCUAGCUCCAGUGCAUAAGAGUCUACAAACUAAAUUCUCCAAAUAUACCAGCAUGCAUCACUGCUAUAAGUUGCAACCCUCACACAAUCAUUUGACUUUACCGUCGGGUUAGGUUGGUAACGAAGAAUACAUUGCUGAUCUUGGUUGUUGGAAAGCAGAAGAACAUCACAGCUUUUAUAGAGGACCAAUGAAAAAUUGGGUCACUUCUCACAUUU